rnacentral:lncRNA from 1 species
UCUUCAUCUAUCUUCUCAGCAUUCCUCUCCUUGGUUUCUCAGCAUCUUGAUGUAUUCUGGCCACAGCAGAUAAUCUUCCUGUGUGUGUCGCCCUCUUUCCUCCGCUAUCCCCAUUGCUCUACCUCUUGCAGCCUGAGUCGCUAGCAUGUUCGCUGCCGGGGACCUAGCAUUGCACAAAUUCGCCAUCUGUGUCUCAUCAGGUGAGUCCCGUGGUGCCGCUGUUCCAUCUUCUUGGUGGAAGGACUGUCAAUACAUUUUCACAGGGCGAGGGAAAUGUCUCUUCUGCCCUACAAAGGUCAUGAACUCACAAUAUAUCACUGGAAAAGAAAUGCACCGAAGGCACACAGGAGAAUGAUGGCCGUCUGAUAACUCAAUCAGACUCAGGCACUCUUCUUCACAGGAGAGUGGGGGAGAGGUGUGGAAAUGGAAGCAGUUUUUUUGGGGCAGUAAGUGAUCUUCAGACAGCUGAGUGGGCCCCAAGAAUGUAAGAGUGUAAAUGAUUCUCUCUGGAAGCUGGGUAGAUUGAGAACACACAAUGGCUGGCAAUGAAGCCUACCCUCUUGUAGUAGUUUAGUCCAUCCUGACCAAAGAAGCCUCAGGAAAGGAACUGAAGGCAAUUUGUCUCAUUUUCGUUGACUUUCUAGAGAAUCUGUCGUGUGCUGUAUGGAAGCAUCACCUGUCAAUAAAAUAGCUGUUGGCCUAUUAUUAGCUUAGGCAGAAAACAGGAGGUGGGAGUUCUGGCAGGGAGAGAGGAUUCUGGGAUAGAGUCGGGUGUGGGAGCCAGUUCACCCCAACAGCUGACGGGAGAGUCUUCAUGAGCCCGAGGAGAGUUCAUAGGAAAGCCAAGAGGAGUCCUCCCGGAACACCUCACAAAUAUCAGCCGCAGGAGGGCCACAGAAGCAAGACCCUCAGUGGAA